rnacentral:rRNA from 1 species
UGUGAGCCAGGUUGGUUUCUAUCUUUUAAGAUUUAAAAUAUUUUAGUACGAAAGGAUCAAAUAUUUUAAUUAAAUUAUAAAAAUUWAUAWGAAUUUUAWWAAAUAWAUUUUAUAAAAUAUUUUAUAAAAAUUUAAUUUUUUUUAUUAAAAAUARGAUUUAAUAR